rnacentral:rRNA from 1 species
UACGUAGGGCGCAAGCGUUAUCCGGAAUUAUUGGGCGUAAAGAGCUCGUAGGCGGUUUGUCGCGUCUGCCGUGAAAGUCCGGGGCUCAACUCCGGAUCUGCGGUGGGUACGGGCAGACUAGAGUGAUGUAGGGGAGACUGGAAUUCCUGGUGUAGCGGUGGAAUGCGCAGAUAUCAGGAGGAACACCGAUGGCGAAGGCAGAUCUCUGGGCCGUAACUGACGCUGAGGAGCGAAAGCCAGGGGAGCAAACGGG